GUAGGCUGGUUUUCCAGGCAAAUCCGGAAAAUCAAGGCUGAGGCGUGAUGACGAGGCACUACGGUGCUGAAGCAACAAAUGCCCUGCUUCCAGGAAAAGCCUCUAAGCAUCAGGUAACAUCAAAUCGUACCCCAAACCGACACAGGUGGUCAGGUAGAGAAUACCAAGGCGCUUGAGAGAACUCGGGUGAAGGAACUAGGCAAAAUGGUGCCGUAACUUCGGGAGAAGGCACGCUGAUAUGUAGGUGAGGUCCCUCGCGGAUGGAGCUGAAAUCAGUCGAAGAUACCAGCUGGCUGCAACUGUCUAUUAAAAACACAGCACUGUGCAAACACGAAAGUGGACGUAUACGGUGUGACGCCUGCCCGGUGCCGGAAGGUUAAUUGAUGGGGUUAGCGCAAGCGAAGCUCUUGAUCGAAGCCCCGGUAAACGGCGGCCGUAACUAUAACGGUCCUAAGGUAGCGAAAUUCCUUGUCGGGUAAGUUCCGACCUGCACGAAUGGCGUAAUGAUGGCCAGGCUGUCUCCACCCGAGACUCAGUGAAAUUGAACUCGCUGUGAAGAUGCAGUGUACCCGCGGCAAGACGGAAAGACCCCGUGAACCUUUACUAUAGCUUGACACUGAACAUUGAGCCUUGAUGUGUAGGAUAGGUGGGAGGCUUUGAAGUGUGGACGCCAGUCUGCAUGGAGCCGACCUUGAAAUACCACCCUUUAAUGUUUGAUGUUCUAACGUUGACCCGUAAUCCGGGUUGCGGACAGUGUCUGGUGGGUAGUUUGACUGGGGCGGUCUCCUCCUAAAGAGUAACGGAGGAGCACGAAGGUUGGCUAAUCCUGGUCGGACAUCAGGAGGUUAGUGCAAUGGCAUAAGCCAGCUUGACUGCGAGCGUGACGGCGCGAGCAGGUGCGAAAGCAGGUCAUAGUGAUCCGGUGGUUCUGAGUGGAAGGGCCAUCGCUCAACGGAUAAAAGGUACUCCGGGGAUAACAGGCUGAUACCGCCCAAGAGUUCAUAUCGACGGCGGUGUUUGGCACCUUGAUGUCGGCUCAUCACAUCCUGGGGCUGAAGUAGGUCCCAAGGGUAUGGCUGUUCGCCAUUUAAAGUGGCACGCGAGAUGGGUUUAGAACGUCGUGAGACAGUUCGGUCCCUAUCUGCCGUGGGCGCUGGAGAACUGAGGGGGGCUGCUCCUAGUACGAGAGGACCGGAGUGGACGCAUCACUGGUGUUCGGGUUGUCAUGCCAAUGGCACUGCCCGGUAGCUAAAUGCGGAAGAGAUAAGUGCUGAAAGCAUCUAAGCACGAAACUUGCCCCGAGAUGAGUUCUCCCUGACCCUUUAAGGGUCCUGAAGGAACGUAGAAGACGACGACGUUGAUAGGCCGGGUGUGUAAGCGCAGCGAUGCGUUGAGCUAACCGGUACUAAUGAACCAUGAGGCUUAACCC
rnacentral:rRNA from 1 species